UACGUAGGGUGCAAGCGUUAAUCGGAAUUACUGGGCGUAAAGCGUGCGCAGGCGGUGAUGUAAGACAGUUGUGAAAUCCCCGGGCUUAACUUGGGAAUGGCGCUCGAAACUACGGAGCUAGAGUGUGGCAGAGGGGGGUGGAAUUCCACGUGUAGCGGUGAAAUGCGUAGAGAUGUGGAGGAACACCAAUGGCGAAGGCAGCCCCCUGGGCCAACACUGACGCUCAUGCACGAAAGCGUGGGGAGCAAACAGG
rnacentral:rRNA from 1 species